UACGUAGGGGGCGAGCGUUGUCCGGAAUUACUGGGCGUAAAGCGCGCGUAGGCGGACCUGCAAGUCGGGGGUGAAAGCCCGAGGCUCAACCUCGGAACUGCCUUCGAUACUGCGGGUCUCGAGUCCGGGAGAGGUGAGUGGAAUUCCUGGUGUAGCGGUGAAAUGCGCAGAUAUCAGGAAGAACACCCGUGGCUAAGGCGGUUCUCUAGUACGGUACUGACGCUGAGACGCGAAAGCGUGGGGAGCGAACAGG
rnacentral:rRNA from 1 species